rnacentral:lncRNA from 1 species
CUGAUUCCAAAAAUCUCUGAUUCUAUAUACUUUUAUUUUGAUAAGGUAUGAAAAAUAGCUACUUCCGGUUUACACAAGGUCACUUCCGGUUGUUUUUUUUCAAGGCUAAUUAGGAACGCUAUUGCAAAAAGUCCCAUGACUUUAUCAUGUAUACAUAUGAGAUAAAAGCAAAGGUCAAAAUCCAGAACGUCAAAUCAAUAUAUGACCUUGAGGUCAAUUUCAAGUUUAUAAACCAAGGAUCUCAAAUCAAAAGGUCUUAAUUAUAUUUGGUUUAUGAGUUAUAUCACACAACG